rnacentral:rRNA from 1 species
GAUCAUGGCUCAGGACGAACGCUGGCGGCGUGCUUAACACAUGCAAGUCGAACGGAGCACCCUUGAAUGAGGUUUCGGCCAAAGGAAAGGAAUGCUUAGUGGCGGACCGGUGAGUAACGCGUGAGGAACCUGCCUUUCAGAGGGGGACAACAGCUGGAAACGGCUGCUAAUACCGCAUGACGCAUUCGGAUGGCAUCAUCUGAAUGCCAAAGAUUUAUCG